rnacentral:rRNA from 1 species
UACGGGGGGGGCAAGCGUUGUUCGGAAUUACUGGGCGUAAAGGGCUCGUAGGCGGCCAACUAAGUCAGACGUGAAAUCCCUCGGCUUAACUGGGGAACUGCGUCUGAUACUGGAUGGCUUGAGUUUGGGAGAGGGAUGCGGAAUUCCAGGUGUAGCGGUGAAAUGCGUAGAUAUCUGGAGGAACACCGGUGGCGAAGGCGGCAUCCUGGACCAUGACUGACGCUGAGGAGCGAAAAGCCAGGGGGAGCAAACGGGG